rnacentral:rRNA from 1 species
AGGACGAACGCUGGCGGCGUGCUUAACACAUGCAAGUCGAACGAUGAACCACUUCGGUGGGGAUUAGUGGCGAACGGGUGAGUAACACGUGGGCAAUCUGCCCUUCACUCUGGGACAAGCCCUGGAAACGGGGUCUAAUACCGGAUAACACUUCCACUCUCCUGGGUGGAGGUUAAAAGCUCCGGCGGUGAAGGAUGAGCCCGCGGCCUAUCAGCUUGUUGGUGAGGUAAUGGCUCACCAAGGCGACGACGGGUAGCCGGCCUGAGAGGGCGACCGGCCACACUGGGACUGAGACACGGCCCAGACUCCUACGGGAGGCAGCAGUGGGGAAUAUUGCACAAUGGGCGAAAGCCUGAUGCAGCGACGCCGCGUGAGGGAUGACGGCCUUCGGGUUGUAAACCUCUUUCAGCAGGGAAGAAGCGAAAGUGACGGUACCUGCAGAAGAAGCGCCGGCUAACUACGUGCCAGCAGCCGCGGUAAUACGUAGGGCGCGAGCGUUGUCCGGAAUUAUUGGGCGUAAAGAGCUCGUAGGCGGCUUGUCACGUCGGGUGUGAAAGCCCGGGGCUUAACCCCGGGUCUGCAUUCGAUACGGGCAGGCUAGAGUGUGGUAGGGGAGAUCGGAAUUCCUGGUGUAGCGGUGAAAUGCGCAGAUAUCAGGAGGAACACCGGUGGCGAAGGCGGAUCUCUGGGCCAUUAC